AGAGGGGUGCAAACGUUGUUCGGAAUCACUGGGCAUAAAGCGCACGUAGGCGGUCAAGUAAGUCAGGGUGUGAAAGCCCCCGGCUCAACCGGGGAAUUGCACUUGAUACUGCUUGACUCGAGGACGGUAGGGGUGAGUGGAACUCCAGGUGGAGCGGUGAAAUGCGUAGAUAUCUGGAGGAACACCGGUGGCGAAAGCGGCUCACUGGACCGUAUCAGACGCUGAGGUGCGAAAGCUAGGGUAGCAAACGGGAUUAGAUACCCCGGUAGUCCUAGCCGUAAACGAUGGGUACUGGGUAGGGGAGGCACCUAUGGCCUUCUCUGCCGGAGCUAAUGUGUUAAGUACCCCGCCUGGGGAGUACGCUCGCAAAGAGUA
rnacentral:rRNA from 1 species